UAUAGUUUGUUGGACCAGCCCCUCACUCUGAUAGAGUAUUAUUACAUCUUUAGGUUUAGAAUCCAUCUUUUCAGCAACUCUACAAUCAGAUCUUCAAUAGAAGUUCAAUAGCACAAUCUUAGGAUAGGCUGGACAGAAAUACAGAAUGUAAUACAAACUGGAAAUUUGUUCUGCCUGUAUCUAUCUGGCCAUAAGUAACUUACACAGUUUACUGAGUUUUCUUGUUUAUUUUCUUCUUUCCCUUUCUGAUUUAGGCAAGAAGCUAUUCAGAAGAAAUAAAACUUUCUCUUGAUUCUAACUUCCAGUGUUGAGCAGUCUUCAGAUCUGCAGGCCCAGCUGAACCAUCUGUUGAAAUAGAAUGGCUUACACAAGGACAAAAGCACUUCUGUGCCUGACACUGAGGAGGAAGUACUUUGCUUGACCCUUGUGCUAUAGGUUUGAUUUUUCCAUUUUCCUCUCUAAAAGUAGUUGGAAAGAUUUGAAUGAAGUACAGUUUAUCCUGACAAGAAGCUAGGUGGCUGAAAUCUGGAAGCAGUUCUUGAAACAAACUAACCCAUACUCUUAAUGACUUUUUAAGUUGCUCUGUUCAGUUUGAUGGUGAAGCAAAAUUAAAAGCUGUCUUAGUUUUUCCCAUAGAAACUUACUUAUUUUAAAAUAUAUUUUUAAUAUGUCAAAAA